GACGAACGCUGGCGGCGUGCUUAACACAUGCAAGUCGAACGGCAAGGCCCUGCCUUUGUGGGGUGCUCGAGUGGCGAACGGGUGAGUAACACGUGAGUAACCUGCCCUUGACUUUGGGAUAACUUCAGGAAACUGGGGCUAAUACCGGAUAGGAGCUCCUGCUGCAUGGUGGGGGUUGGAAAGUUUCGGCGGUUGGGGAUGGGCUCGCGGCUUAUCAGCUUGUUGGUGGGGUAGUGGCUUACCAAGGCUUUGCCGGGUAGCCGGCCUGAGAGGGUGACCAGCCACAUUGGGACUGCGAUACGGCCCAGACUCCUACGGGAGGCAGCAGUGGGGAAUAUUGCACAAUGGGCGGAAGCCUGAUGCAGCAACGCCGCGUGCGGGAUGACGGCCUUCGGGUUGUAAACCGCUUGCGCCUGUGACGAAGCGUGAGUGACGGUAAUGGGUAAAGAAGCACCGGCUAACUACGUG
rnacentral:rRNA from 1 species